rnacentral:rRNA from 1 species
GAUGAACGCUGGCGGUAUGCUUAACACAUGCAAGUCGAACGGUCACUUCGGUGAUAGUGGCGGACGGGUGAGUAACGCGUGAGAAUCUGUCUUCAGGUCGGGGACAACAGUUAGAAAUGACUGCUAAUACCGGAUGUGCCUUUGGGUGAAAGAUUUAUUGCCUGAAAAAGAGCUCGCGUCAGAUUAGCUAGUAGGUGGUGUAAGAGACUACCUAGGCUCCGAUCUGUAGCUGGUCUGAGAGGACGAUCAGCCACACUGGAACUGAGACACGGUCCAGACUCCUACGGGAGGCAGCAGUGGGGAAUUUUCCGCAAUGGGCGAAAGCCUGACGGAGCAAUACCGCGUGAGGGACGAAGGCUUUUGGGCCGUAAACCUCUUUUCUCAAGGAAGAUGAUGACGGUACUUGAGGAAUAAGCAGCGGCUAACUCUGUG